GCCAGGCGCGGUGGCGCGCGCCUGUAGUCCCAGCUACUCGGGAGGCUGAGGCAGGAGGAUCGCUUGAGCCCAGGAGUUCUGGGCUGUAGUGCGCUAUGCCGAUCGGGUGUCCGCACUAAGUUCGGCAUCAAUAUGGUGACCUCCCGGGAGCGGGGGACCACCAGGUUGCCUAAGGAGGGGUGAACCGGCCCAGGUCGGAAACGGAGCAGGUCAAAACUCCCAUGCUGAUCAGUAUUGGGAUCGCGCCUGUGAAUAGCCACUGCACUCCAGCCUGGGCAACAUAGCGAGACCCCGUCU
rnacentral:SRP_RNA from 1 species